rnacentral:lncRNA from 1 species
CUGAAAUGUCCUUCCACUUUUCUAGAUCACCAGCACAAUCCUUGCUAUACAGAAAUAAGAAAAAAAAAUCCCAAAUUUAGUCCAACAAGAAAAAUUCAUGUAAUUAAAAUAAUCAUAAUAAACAUAUAAACAAGUCGAAACUCUAUGUUCCAAUGAGAUAUGGUAAUAAAUUUAGAAAAUUGGUUAAUCUGCAACAGAGAGGUCGUAUCAAAAGGUUGUAAAAAUAUAUAAGAAUAUAGAAAAAUCAACUAUAGUUAAAUAGGUAAAAAUGUAAUAAAAAUAGUUUCUUUUUGAUGAGAACCAAUCAUCCUCAUCUCAGAUUUCCCAUGAAAAAGGAAAUAUAACAAUUGGAGAGA